rnacentral:rRNA from 1 species
UACAGAGGUCUCAAGCGUUGUUCGGAUUCAUUGGGCGUAAAGGGCUCGUAGGCGGUUUGUCACGUCAGGAGUGAAAACUCGGGGCUCAACCCCGAGCCUGCUUCUGAUACGGGCAGACUAGAGGUAUGCAGGGGAGAACGGAAUUCCUGGUGUAGCGGUGAAAUGCGCAGAUAUCAGGAGGAACACCGGUGGCGAAGGCGGUUCUCUGGGCAUUACCUGACGCUGAGGAGCGAAAGUGUGGGGAGCGAACAGG